CUCCUGCUCCGCUGCUCGCAACGACAUCAACGCUACAACGCUGGAGGUCACCGGAGGAAAUCCAGCGCCGUGCAACAAAGAGCUCAUCACCGAAGUCCAACAGGGCGCCGUGUUCUUCAUUCUGUUCCACGAGACUCUGGACCAGACCACCGCGAGCAGACAGCUGGACUUCAUGUGCGCUAUUGGUGAAAUGACCAGGUCCCGUCAGGAUCCUCUGGAGCUCAUGGGCCAUGACACCAGGACCUACUUCAGCAUCUCAAAGAGAAUGGACCAAAUGUCAACUGGAAGUUUUUAUAUUAAUACAGUUUGAAAAGGAUUGUUUUCCUAAUAUAUUCACAAAAGCUCAGGAGUAGACAUGAACCUGUGCACAAACAUCCAUCACAUAGAGACAUAAGCACACACACACACAUACAUUCUAUUAUGUAAAUGAAUUUGCAUUUUAAAAGCAGCUGGAAUUGUUAUUUAUGUUAUUUAAUAGAUUUUUUUGUUCAAAAGGAACUAUGUUGCCUGUAUUUUUAAAAUAUAUUUACUUGAUAUAAGCAUUUGUUCAUGGGACUUAAAUGUUCUGAAAAUUUAUUAAUAAAUAUAAUUUACAACAGCAA